rnacentral:rRNA from 1 species
UAAGGGUGCAUGGUGGAUGCCUAGGCGUUCAGAGGCGACGAAAGACGUGUGAGCCUGCGAUAAGCUCCGGGGAGUUGGCAACAAAGCUUUGAUCCGGAGAUCUCUGAAUGGGGAAACCUGUUACCGCCCAAUAAGCGGUUUCACUGGCGGGUGAAUGUAUAGUCCGUCAGAGUCAACCCGGGGAACUGAAACAUCUCAGUACCCGGAGGAAAGGACAUCAACCGAGACUCCGCUAGUAGUGGCGAGCGAACGCGGACCAGGCCAGUGGUCAUGUCGAGAGAACCGGAACCGUCUGGAAAGUCGGGCCGUAGCGGGUGACAGCCCCGUACGGGUAGUGCUCGAUAUGAUCCUCGAGUAGGGCGGGGCACGUGAAACCCUGCCUGAACGUGGGGGGACCACCCUCCAAGCCUAAGUACUCCUUGCCGACCGAUAGCGAACCAGUACCGUGAGGGAAAGGUGAAAAGCACCCCGACAAGGGGAGUGAAACAGACCUGAAACUGAACGC